rnacentral:lncRNA from 1 species
CGGACAGCAGCUCAGCUGGGUCUUGGUUCAGGCCCUGAGAAGCCUGUAGCAGAGUUCAACAGGGUCUGAGCGCAUCAGAUGGACCACACAAGCCAGCUGCAGUCCCUGUCCUGUCUGGCCUAGCUCAGCUGUCCAUUCUGAUUGAAGUCCAUCUGUCUGAGCAGCCAGCUGUCCAACCAGACCCUCCUCCCUGUCAGCUCUCCCAAUCACUCACCUGUCAGCUUCUCCUUUUCCCUUCCCCGUGUUUCUCAUGAAACCAACUUGUGUUGGCUGCUUGGACUGGAAAUGGACUGAAAGCCGUCUUUCCAAAA